ACCAAAGCGUUUCGCUUUGCGUGGUGCGCAAAAUGCGUAACGACAGCACGAUUGCGGUUAACGGAGCGUAAGCGACGUUCAACACAAAAAUCAGGCAGUGGAGCGUUUUGGGGUGGGGUGACUGCGUACCUUUUGUAUAAUGGGUCAGCGACUUAUAUUCUGUAGCAAGGUUAACCGCAUAGGGGAGCCGGAGGGAAACCGAGUCUUAAUUGGGCGUUAAGUUGCAGGGUAUAGACCCGAAACCCGGUGAUCUAGCCAUGGGCAGGUUGAAGGUUGGGUAACACUAACUGGAGGACCGAACCGACUAAUGUUGAAAAAUUAGCGGAUGACCUGUGGCUGGGGGUGAAAGGCCAAUCAAACCGGGAGAUAGCUGGUUCUCCCCGAAAGCUAUUUAGGUAGCGCCUCGUGAAUUCAUCUCCGGGGGUAGAGCACUGUUUCGGCCAGGGGGCCAUCCCGGCUUACCAAUCCGAUGCAAACUGCGAAUACCGGAGAAUGUUAUCACGGGAGACACACGGCGGGUGCUAACGUCCGUCGUGAAGAGGGAAACAACCCAGACCGCCAGCUAAGGUCCCAAAGUCAUGGUUAAGUGGGAAACGAUGUGGGAAGGCCCAGACAGCCAGGAUGUUGGCUUAGAAGCAGCCAUCAUUUAAAGAAAGCGUAAUAGCUCACUGGUCGAGUCGGCCUGCGCGGAAGAUGUAACGGGGCUAAACCAU
rnacentral:rRNA from 1 species